rnacentral:rRNA from 1 species
AACGAGACCUUAACCUGCUAAAUAGCCCGUAUUGCUUUGGCAGUACGCUGGCUUCUUAGAGCGACUAUCCGCUCAAGCGGAUGGAAGUUUGAGGCAAUAACAGGUCUGUGAUGCCCUUAGAUGUUCUGGGCCGCACGCGCGUUACACCGACGGAGCCAGCGAGUACUUCCUUGACAGAGAUGUCCGGGUAAUCCUGUGAAACUC